CAUCAAGUCUGACAAAGAAUGGAAAUACCUACUUUCGUUGGAGCCCAUGAAUUUCAAUUCCCAAGAGAAUUCAAUUCUUUCUGCACUUUACGCCAUUGUUAUAAAAAUCCAAUGGCUUCUUCGCCCCUGGCUGUAGUAUCCAUCGAAUUGCAUGAGGGACGGACUGCCCAAUAAAAACCUACGUUUCAGGAUGGUAUAUCUGUACGACACAAUAGGAGAUUUGCAGCCAUCGAAGGAGAACAGAAGGGGUGUACAGUGGGUGGUGGGACGAGAGGGUGGAUGUUUUAUGCAGGCAGUCGCGAUGAAAAUCCAAUCAAGAAAAACUUCUCGCAAACCAGGACAAUCCAACAGCCGGCAAAAAGAAGUCUGACGGAAUUGGGCGAGGUUUCGAGAGAUGGAAGUGUCUGCAAAGCCUCGCUAAGGCCAGAAAACACAAAUAAGAUUGCAAAUAGCCAGAGUACCAAGAAAUAAGUAGGACGAGGUAAAGAGAAUAAUCGAGAUGGCCUGUACGAGAAUUGAAAGAAGAUGAUAAGA